rnacentral:misc_RNA from 1 species
AAGUCGUAACAAGGUUUCCGUAGGUGAACCUGCGGAAGGAUCAUUAUCCUUUAGCGUGGUAUUCUAACCAAUACUACAAGCGCAUGCACACUAUGUGUUGCGUAAAAAUGCAUAACGAUGAUGCCUAGUCAUUUUUCGUUUUUCAAAUCCAUGCUAGCUCUCUAGUAUGGUCGGGUACCUAAGUACACACGUACAUCAAGCGGUAGAUACUUGUCUAUCGUGUGGUGUAAAGAUCAUUCAGAGCCUUUGAAUGACGCCCGCUUAGCAAACAUUUUAUAUACAAAUUUUAAAUCGCAAUACUAUGUUGUAUGUGUAAAAGACUAUCUUAUUACUUACGAUGAGAUAAUAACACAAAUACAACCCUAUGCGGUGGAUCAUUUGGCUC